UCGACCGCGACCCCAGGUCAGGCGGGAUCACCCG
rnacentral:rRNA from 3 species